rnacentral:rRNA from 1 species
UGCCACCUACGGGAGGCAGCAGUGGGGGAUAUUGCACAAUGGGGGAAACCCUGAUGCAGCGACGCCGCGUGUGGGAAGACGGUCCUCUGGAUUGUAAACCACUGUCCCCAGGGACGAAGAUGACGGUACCUGGGGAGGAAGCUCCGGCUAACUACGUGCCAGCAGCCGCGGUAAUACGUAGGGAGCGAGCGUUGUCCGGAUUUAUUGGGUUUAAAGGGUGCGUAGGCGGGCUUUUAAGUCAGCGGUAAAAAUUCGGGGCUCAACCCCGUCCGGUCGUUGAAACUGGGGGCCUUGAGUGGGCGAGA